CUUUAUGGUGGGCUGUAUUGAGCAACCAUUAAUUUGGUUGGCCGGUGCCUAUACCGGUAGUGCAAACUUGAUACAGUCCAUCGCCCAA
rnacentral:antisense_RNA from 1 species